CAUUUUAUUUAAUAUUUAGAGGGGAAUUCGUUGUAUGUUAAUACGACUAGAUAAUUUAAACAGAUUUUUUAGAGUCUCGGGAUCAGAAAAUAUAACAGAAAAAAUGAAAACAAUCAAUGUUGUAAUUAUGUUGCAUUGUGUGUUCAUGUAUGAGUUUGCAUGCCUGGACCUGUGUAAAGGAAUAAAUGGAACACUGUGUUGUUCUGGAUACAAGUGGGACCAGGAUCAAGCAAUGUGUACACGUUGUAACAUAGGAUAUGUUGGAAUAAACUGUGCCAUAAGAUGUCCUUUCCCAUAUUAUGGAUUGGACCGCCAGUCAAAAUGUAAUUGUUCGAAGAAAAA